GCCUCUAUGGCGCAGUGGUAACGCGUAGCACUUGUAGCUCAGCAAGAUCAUGCUAAGAUCUCUGGUUCGAUUCCAGUAUGUAUGGUCC